rnacentral:misc_RNA from 1 species
AUAAUGUCUCCAGAUCUUUAAUGCAAAAACUACAGCUGCUAUCUCCAGAUCAUAAGUAGGAUAGUUUUGCUCGUGCCUCUUUAAUUACCUUGAAGCAGCCACUACUUUACCGUGCUAUAUUAAAACACACCCCAACCAACUCUGGAAGCAUCACAAUACACUUUAUACCCUUCUCCGCUCACCGGCAAGGUCAACACUGGAGCUGUGGUUAAACAUUCCUUAAGCUUUUGAAAGUUCUCCUUACACUCGUCUGACCAGACAAACAGGACAUUCUUUCGAGUCAACCAGGUUAG